CCUACGGGUGGCAGCAGUGGGGAAUAUUGGACAAUGGGGGGAACCCUGAUCCAGCCAUGCCGCGUGUGUGAAGAAGGCCCUCGGGUUGUAAAGCACUUUCAGUGAGGAAGAACGCCUGGUGGUUAAUACCCAUCAGGAAAGACAUCACUCACAGAAGAAGCACCGGCUAACUCCGUGCCAGCAGCCGCGGUAAUACGGAGGGUGCGAGUGUUAAUCGGAAUUACUGGGCGUAAAGCGCGCGUAGGUGGCUUGAUAAGCCGGUUGUGAAAGCCCCGGGCUCAACCUGGGAACGGCAUCCGGAACUGUCAAGCUAGAGUGCAGGAGAGGAAGGUAGAAUUCCCGGUGUAGCGGUGAAAUGCGUAGAGAUCGGGAGGAAUACCAGUGGCGAAGGCGGCCUUCUGGACUGACACUGACACUGAGGUGCGAAAGCGUGGGUAGCAAACAGGAUUAGAUACCCCAGUAGUC
rnacentral:rRNA from 1 species